CUUUUUCUGUACAUCUUGAGUGGGAAUCUGCCUCUCAGGCAGCAGCACAGAUGGAGGGGUACACACUGUCCAAGUCAGUGUCCUUCACAGGUUGAUCCCAAAUCCUCUCUCCCUACCACCACUCUAAGUCUAAAUGCAGGUCAAACUUUAUUAUCUGUCUUCACCAUAUUCUGCCCUCCACCUUUUCUAAAAACUGGAUGUUUUUAAGUAGACAACAUUUGAGGUUUCCGGCAGUACAGAAAAGCCACACACUAUACAGCUCUAAAAUCCAAGAAUUUAUACCUCCAUUUUGUGUAACCUCUGGAGAACACUUGAGUUGAAAAAAUGAAGAAAAAUAUAUCUCUUUUUCUCCACCUUUGUGCUUUUCAGACUCCCAUUGAAAUCCCAUUGAAAACAGUGACUUGACUUUGUUCACAUCAUCUAUGGAAUAAUCCCUCUGCUUAGGUUUAGAAACUAAACCUGGUCAUGUUGAAUAUUAUUCUGGUAAAAAUCUAUGGGAAACAUUGGAAUUGUCAUGGAAACAUUUCUAGUAAGAGCAGAAUCAUCUACCCUGUGACCCUUUUGAAGGCAGCUAUAAGGACAUGCUUUUCCUAAAUAUAUAUUACUGGGGC